rnacentral:misc_RNA from 1 species
AGAAGUUCCAAAUAGAAAGUAUAUACGGCCUUCCUCUCCCAUUGUCCUUCCAUAAGCAUGUCACGUACAUAGAAUACAUAUUUUACAAAUGUUGCAACAGUUGUUGUAGCAAGUAUCAUGUACUCAAACGCGAAGAAGAGAGAACCAGAAGCCUGUCUUGUCUGUAUCAAAUGGUUCAUGUAGUUGUACAAAAGGAGACUAUCUAUGAGAAGGAGGAAGCCCAUGAAAGAAACUAUGCGAAUGUGGGACAACUUAGUAACAGCUGGAGUUGUUUCAAUGUACUCAACCCGUUUCUGGGCCAACCAAUGCAAAGUCUUGACUAAAAAUAGUGCGGUGACCAUGGUAAUAAACGUCAUGGAGAAGUCUUGCCGGAAAAUAGUGAUUGCAAAAAGUAUUUCCAUGAGUUCACGCCAUGACUGCUCAUUUAA